AUUGAACGCUGGCGGCAGGCCUAACACAUGCAAGUCGAGCGAGCGGCGGACGGGUGAGUAAUGUCUGGGAAAAUGCCUGAUGGCGGGGGAUAACUACUGGAAACGGUAGCUAAUACCGCAUACCAUCAGAUGUGCCCAGAUGGGAUUGGCUAGUCGGUGGGGUAACGGCUCACCUAGGCGAAGAUCCCUAGAUGGUCUGGGAGGAUGACCAGCCACACUGGAACUGAGACACGGUCCAGAGUCCGACGUGAGGCAGCAGUGGGGAAUAUGGCACAAUGGGCGCAAGCCUGAUGCAGCCAUGCCGCGUGUGUGAAGAAGGCCUUCGGGUUGUAAAGCACUUUCAGCGGGGAGGCGUUACCCGCAGAAGAAGCACCGGCUAACUCCGUGCCAGCAGCCGCGGUAAUAC
rnacentral:rRNA from 1 species